CCUGCGGAAGGAUCAUUAAUGAAUUCACUAUGGAGUUGUUGCUGGCCUCUAGGGGCAUGUGCACGCUUCACUAGUCUUUCAACCACCUGUGAACUUUUGAUAGAUCUGUGAAGUCGUCUCUCAAGUCGUCAGACUUGGUUGCUGGGAUUUAAACGUCUCGGUGUGACUACGCAGUCUAUUUACUUAACACACCCCAAAUGUAUGUCUACGAAUGUCAUUUAAUGGGCCUUGUGCCUAUAAACCAUAAUACAACUUUCAACAACGGAUCUCUUGGCUCUCGCAUCGAUGAAGAACGCAGCGAAAUGCGAUAAGUAAUGUGAAUUGCAGAAUUCAGUGAAUCAUCGAAUCUUUGAACGCACCUUGCGCCCCUUGGUAUUCCGAGGGGCAUGCCUGUUUGAGUGUCAUUAAAUUCUCAAACUCACUUUGGUUUUUUCCAAUUGUGAUGUUUGGAUUGUUGGGGGCUGCUGGCCUUGACAGGUCGGCUCCUCUUAAAUGCAUUAGCAGGACUUCUCAUUGCCUCUGCGCAUGAUGUGAUAAUUAUCACUCAUCAAUAGCACGCAUGAAUAGAGUCCAGCUCUCUAAUCGUCCGCAAGGACAAUUUGACAAUUUGACCUC
rnacentral:rRNA from 1 species